rnacentral:rRNA from 2 species
CUUGAUCAAACUAUAAGAGGUCCAGCCUGCCCAGUGACAUUGUUCAACGGCCGCGGUAUCCUAACCGUGCGAAGGUAGCGUAAUCACUUGUCCUUUAAAUGAAGACUAGUAUGAAUGGCCUCACGAAAGCUAUGCUGUCUCCUUUUUCCAAUCAGUUAAACUAAUCUCCCCGUGAAGAAGCGGGGAUAUAUUUAUAAGACGAGAAGACCCUAUGGAGCUUUAAACAAUUGAAACACUUGCACUUAUUUCCACCCCAUAAUCCACAAUUAACUCCACAUUUUGUUUCUAGUUUUAGGUUGGGGUGACCGCGGAGAAAAAAUCAACCUCCACGUCGAAAGAGACAUCUCUAAACAAAAAGCGACAGCUUUAUGUAUUAACACAUUAACCUUAAUUGACCCA